AGCCAAGGAACAGGGAGGGAGGAGCGGUGCUCAGCCAAUGAGGCGAUGCCCUGGAGCCCCACCCCACCCAUGCUGGCCCCAGGACCCCAACCCCAGGCCAGACCCUCCAGUGCUCCUCCUGACCUUCCCUGUCUGCAGCCUGGCUUUGGACUGUGGAGAUGCCCUCAGCCUCUACUCAGUGGCUCCAGCCUCAUAUUUGCAUGCUAUACCUUUAACCUCGAGCCCUCUUGCUGCUAACUUAAACUGCGACUGUCCAGGACCUGCACACACACAUACACGCACGCAUGCACACACACACACACACAGAAGGUGAACACACAGGAUGAGGCCCUGAAAACUCGUUUCACCCGUGUACCUCGCCCAAAAAUUCCCCUUUGUACUUCUAUCUUUAUCUCUAACUGACAGCAUGAAGGUAGCCUGAACGAAGUCCCCUCACCCUGUCUGUCCUCCUGAUUCUCUAGCCCAGUUCCCUCUAGCUCCAGCACAGACUCUUAUCUCCAGCCCUGACUGCCGAAACCCUCCAGCCCCAGCUCCAGCCCCUCAGGAGGGGACUCCAUGGGAGGAACGACUCCAGCAAGCCGGCAGCUGACCCGUCUCUGGCCUGCACGCCUCCCCCCUGUGGUCCACUGCUGGUGGUCUUCAGCUCUCUCCUCGUCCCACCCCCAUGGUCUGCUGACAGCCCAGCUCAGCGCAUCCCUGCCAUCUCUGCUCUACCGCUGGUCCUCCCAACAACCAACUUACAGGCAGUUUGGGAUUUCAGCAGGUGGCCCAGUGCUGAGACACAAGGGAGGUGUUUCUGGUCUGCAGACACUGAGGACACUUGCUACGUGGCGUGGUGGACGGUGGGGUUUCACUCCCGUCACCCAGACUGGAGUACGAUGGUGCGAUCUCAGCUCACUGCAACCUCUGCCUCCUGGGCUCAAGCGAUUCUCCUGCCUUGGCCUCCCAAGUAGCUGGGAUUACAGGUGCCUGCCACCACUCCUGGCUAAUUUUCGUAUUUUUUGUAAAGGCGGAGUUUCUCCAUGUUGCCCAGGCUAGUCUCAAACUCCUGAGCUCAAGCAAUCCACCCUCCUCGGCCUCCCAAAUAAGUGGAAUUACAGGUGUGAGCCACCAUGCCGGCCCUGAUGUAUCAAUAUUAAAACAUUUUCUUCAGCCUACAA